AUCGUAGUGACCUGCGGAGGAUCAUUACCGAGUGAGGGCCCUCUGGGUCCAACCUCCCACCCGUGUUUAUUUUACCUUGUUGCUUCGGCGGGCCCGCCUUAACUGGCCGCCGGGGGGCUUACGCCCCCGGGCCCGCGCCCGCCGAAGACACCCUCGAACUCUGUCUGAAGAUUGUAGUCUGAGUGAAAAUAUAAAUUAUUUAAAACUUUCAACAACGGAUCUCUUGGUUCCGGCAUCGAUGAAGAACGCAGCGAAAUGCGAUACGUAAUGUGAAUUGCAAAUUCAGUGAAUCAUCGAGUCUUUGAACGCACAUUGCGCCCCCUGGUAUUCCGGGGGGCAUGCCUGUCCGAGCGUCAUUGCUGCCCUCAAGCACGGCUUGUGUGUUGGGCCCCGUCCUCCGAUCCCGGGGGACGGGCCCGAAAGGCAGCGGCGGCACCGCGUCCGGUCCUCGAGCGUAUGGGGCUUUGUCACCCGCUCUGUAGGCCCGGCCGGCGCUUGCCGAUCAACCCGAAUUUUUAUCCAGGUUGACCUCGGAUCAGGUAGGGAUACCCGCUGAACUUAAGCAUAUAAA
rnacentral:rRNA from 1 species